rnacentral:rRNA from 1 species
GUGGGGAAUCUUGCGCAAUGGGCGAAAGCCUGACGCAGCCAUGCCGCGUGAAUGAUGAAGGUCUUAGGAUUGUAAAAUUCUUUCACCGGGGACGAUAAUGACGGUACCCGGAGAAGAAGCCCCGGCUAACUUCGUGCCAGCAGCCGCGGUAAUACGAAGGGGGCUAGCGUUGCUCGGAUUUACUGGGCGUAAAGGGCGCGUAGGCGGACAUUUAAGUCAGGGGUGAAAUCCCGGGGCUCAACCUCGGAACUGCCUUUGAUACUGGGUGUCUUGAGUAUGAGAGAGGUGUGUGGAACUCCGAGUGUAGAGGUGAAAUUCGUAGAUAUUCGGAAGAACACCAGUGGCGAAGGCGACACACUGGCUCAUUACUGACGCUGAGGCGCGAAAGCGUGGGGAGCAAACAGGAUUAGAUACCCUGGUAGUCC